rnacentral:rRNA from 1 species
UGGGGAAUAUUGCACAAUGGGCGCAAGCCUGAUGCAGCCAUGCCGCGUGUAUGAAGAAGGCCUUCGGGUUGGAAAGUACUUUCAGCGAGGAGGAAGGCGUUGUGGUUAAUAACCGCAACGAUUGACGUUACUCGCAGAAGAAGCACCGGCUAACUCCGUGCCAGCAGCCGCGGUAAUACGGAGGGUGCAAGCGUUAAUCGGAAUUACUGGGCGUAAAGCGCACGCAGGCGGUCUGUCAAGUCGGAUGUGAAAUCCCCGGGCUCAACCUGGGAACUGCAUCCGAAACUGGCAGGCUAGAGUCUUGUAGAGGGGGGUAGAAUUCCAGGUGUAGCGGUGAAAUGCGUAGAGAUCUGGAGGAAUACCGGUGGCGAAGGCGGCCCCCUGGACAAAGACUGACGCUCAGGUGCGAAAGCGUGGGGAGCAAACA